AUCAAAUACUUGCUAUAUUUGUAGUAUCCUUGAUUAAUGGAUAAAGAGCUUCUGGGAAAAGCAAACCAGUUCAUUUAAGUAACAUGUUUAUAAUAGGAGAGUGGCAGCCCAGGUGAGAUCUGAAGUAUAUUUUUGGAUUGUUUUAGCAGUGAGAAUUUGGAUUGAGUCCCUUCAACAUCAAAAUGAACUAGACGGGGUCAGUGAAUGAACACUUGCUCACCUAAGAGAUGAAGAAUCUGGAAAACUUCUGCUUAAGAUGUGAGAAACCCUUGGUUAAGAAGAUAAAGAAACUUCCAAAGCACAAGGACCUCCUUAUCAUAGGCCACAGUAUUUAAGAAGGGUAAAGAAGAACAUUCCAAAGAAAAUACAAGGCUGAAAACUUAGAGGGUGAUGCUUGAUAUUCCAGAAAAGUACAGGAAGAGGCCAUGUUGUCAGAAGAUUUCCCUGCGUAUGAGAGAAAUUACUCUACUCCACCCUUCUCUCCUGAAUGGUUCCAGAAGAAUUGUUUAAGUAACUUAUUUUUUCAACCUUCCUGUCAGAUCUGGUUUUUCCAUCAAUACACCAUUUAUAUAUUUUUUUUUCACAAGAAAGAAGAAAGCAUUAAGAAGAUAGCCAAACAACAUGAUAUAUAUCAUCUCUGCUAAGAUCCUGCUAUGGAACUGAAUUCCUCAGAUUUGAAAUGCGUUCCAUGAAUGUAAAAGACAUAAGCAGCCAGUGCUGAUGGCUAAAAAAGGCGAAUGAGGUAACAGUAACACUGAUGGGCUGUUUGUCUCAAAUGUCCCAUAAAUACGAAUGUGAAAUUAAUUUUUUUUCAAUCUACAUUCUCUCUAUUCAAGGAAAAUUUCCUCAGUAGUAAGCCAAGAUAGGGCAUUUAAUAGAGAGUGGUUGGAAUUUGAGUUAUCAUUUCCAUGCUUAUAAUUUGGGCACUUCUUACUAGAAUAAAAUAUAUAGAGAGAGGCGCAGACUUCCUAAACUUCUUGCACAAGUCACGAAUGCAGGAUGACACUUCGGGAGGAACAAUUUCUUUUAUUUAUCAUCUUCUAAUGAGGCCUACUAGAGUGAUCUCCCCCUGCUGUGUAGUUGCUGUAAGACAGUUGGGGAAAAGGCUCACCCUGGGCCUGCUGUCGCAGCAGCUGAUGGCUUUGGCAUUUUCAUAUAAACAUGCAAGCCAAAGAGGAAUUUCUCCUUUAUAAUUGGUCCCAUGCCCCCCUUCCUGGGACAUUCCAUGAUGCCACCAAAAAUGAAGUGCUCAGAAAGGAGGAAUCAUUUCUGUUUAUGUGAAAAUAUAUCUGAAGUCCAUGAGGCAAAGGAAGAAAUAACAAAAAGCUUCAAAGCCCACAAAGAGGAGUUAUAAUCAAAUCUGGAUGCUGCUUUUUAGAUCUGGCAGUUCUCCUCCCUAUAAAUGCUCAGGGGAUGGGAGCCAGCCGCCCUUUCUCCUAUCCUUGCCUAUCUGUACAGCUAGAGGAAAGUGGCUGGCUGAUGUCCUGCCAUAGUGUUAUCUGGGUUAAGUGUGAGUAAUGCCUUUAGUGAUCCCCCACGCUCAAACACAAGCAAACGAGUUUUUUCUCAGGAGUGCUUCAUACAUACUAAGCCAUUGGUCUGAAGUUCAUAAAAUGAUGAUCAAAAAUGCCUUCAGGAGGCAGUAUAGCAUCACAGUAACAGGGCAUGGAUUUUUUUUUUAAGUAACUCAAAAUGAAGUGCAAGUUCUCCGUCAGGUUAUUUAAUUUCCCCAAGGAUCAGUUUACUCAUCUGUAAAAUGGGGAUACGAAUGCAUUUUUCAGAGUAUUUAUGUGAUUAUUAUAUAUUAUAUUUGUAAAGCACCUAGUGCAUUAUUGAGCUCACUAAGAGUUAAGUAGUUUUGUCAAAUGCCCCUUAUGUUAAUUGUCUUUGGUAUGGUUUAUGUGAUAAGGUGUAGCUUCAUAUACAGCAUAACACAAUGUCUAGAUAUUCUAUGAUUCAUAUCACCCAAGAUAUUGGUAUAAUUCAGCCUAAGGGAAAACAUACCUGGAGGGUUAAAGCAACCCUGAGCAUUAUCACCAAUCACAACACCUUGUAGCAAAUUAAACAUUUUUCCUCUAUUCUUCAAUUUCUGCUCUGAACAGACAUUAAGAAUGAUAUACAUCCUUUUCAAAGAAAAAUAUCUUGUUGACACCAGGAUAUUAUAAGGAAGUGAAGUAUCAUCUUGAAUCUUUACCCAAAUAACUCAACUGAUUUUCUGUAUAAUGGCAGUCAAAUCACCCUUCCUAUUAAAUACAAAUUCCCUAAUAUUCUCCAAAUCAAGUUUCCUUUUUGGUGGUUGAAGCCUGUUUCUUUUCAUUUGCCACAUUAGGCAAUUAAUUGGGUAUUUAUAGGCAGCUAUCAUAUACCCCACUGUCACUGCUACUCAGUCACACAUCUUAAUUUUUCCACAUCUUGCCACUUAAAUCCUACCCCUUAAUCACCUCAUCAUCUUUGUCACAUUUUAAAGUUGUCUUCCACUUAAUCAACUCCAUUUUCUAAGCUAGAGUAGGAACAAUUGUGCAGAAUUCUCCUAGUGCAGCUUUACUGAGGCUCACUGAAGAGAAAGCAUUCUCUUCUUAAGUGAUUUCUUCAGAUCCCAGGAUAGUUUUUGCUUCUAGUGCAAGAGCAUCACCGUGUGAGCUAUUCCUGAUCUGCACUUCAGCAUUGCCCUCCAUCUAUUUCUUAUUAAUGCUUUUCAUUGUCAAAUGGCACUCUCACUGGUGGGGGCUGAGCCCAUUAGGAGAGAAAGCACUGCACCCCUUCCCCAUGAUCUCUUGGCCUCAUUGGCUCCUACCACCCUCCCUGGGCAUGCUCCUGCCCACUGUUCCCUAGUGGUCAGCCCUCAUGGACCCCCUUCUAAUGUACCUCAGGAUCCUUGGUCCCUUGAGCUAAAACAAAAACAAAAACAAAAAACAGGAGAAAUCCUGACCCUUGGAGGAGAGUCAGUUUCAUUUGGCUUCCUCUCACUUUGUUUGUGUAAACUGGCCAAUUUCUCCAGUAAAUGGCCAUUACAACUUGUCUUAUGCAGCUCCAAGGGACACAUGUUCCUGGUGGGGUAACCCACAAAUCACUUUUCCUCAGGAUCUUCAUAAAAGCUCUAGGGAGAGAAAGGACUCAACUGUCAAAUAACUUAAGGAAACGUGGCAUUCUGUACCCCUCUCCUGGAAGCAUAGACACAUCUGAGAAUGUCAACAGUUUGAGAAAUGUGAAGGUAAAGAAAACCCAUUGACCUUUGUCUAAUGCAGUCUUCCAAAGAUGUUUCGCUAUAUGGUCAUUACUUGGAGGAACAAUUAUCACUAACCAAUUCAAGAACCUGGGCAUCCUCCAAGAUACAUUUUGGAAAUGCUGCACUGGUCAUGGUCCUCCUCUAAUGUUCCCUGAAAAAGCUGUGACACUUUAAUCCAUGAACUCUGAAUUAUUAUUUUCACCUGCAUGAUCUGUCAGAGAAAACUGUUUUGUGAGGACACUUUUGCACUAUGUGGUGUCCACUCACUUUAUAUAUAAAAUAUUCAUCCAAGAUCUUCUAGUAAGAAAACAGAUAAAGGAGUCAGUUCAGCUUCACACAGAUGUGACGGCAACAGUCUCAGGAUUUCCCUGUCCUCAGUGCAUUUCAUUUGAUUGGUCUCCAUGAUGUGCCCUUUUUCUGGGAUGCUUAUCUAUCAGUCAGCAUAUGGCACAGAGUAAAUACUAAAUCAACAUUUUUUUAAAACAAACCAAAAAUUGUUCUUGUUUAAUUCUUAGAGAAAUACACAUGAUUAUUUUGAUGUUUCAUGGUUUAAAAAAUAACUAAUAAGGUGGCUAGUUUUAUUUUUACCCAAGACUCUUUGCUACUGUAAAUGCUGUUAAAAAAUUCAUUAAUUAUCUACAAGAGCUUCCACUUACUCCUUCUAUGUGCUAAGUACUUGGCAUAUACUAUUAUUUGAUUACUGUAAGUUGCAAUGAGAUAAGUAUUUGAUCUUGUAGUGCAAAAAAUAAAGAUACUAUUGAGUCAGAUUAGACUGUUAAGUAUCUCUAAUUAGAAAUCACAACGUGUAGUUUUGAUCUCAGGUCUCUCGAACCUACCCUAUCUUGUAUGCACACCAUAUAUGCAUAUCAGGUGUAUAGGUGAAAACAAAAGCAAAUUAAUUUUUCUUACUAAUCAUAUGUGUAUUGUAGAUACACACACACACAUAACAUAAAAUGUACUUUGUCAACAAUUUUUAGUGUGAGUGGCAUUGAGUACAUUCACAUUGUUAUGCAACAAUCACUGUCCUCCAUCUCCAGAAUUUUGUCUUCUUCCCAAACUGGGAGUCUGUAUAAAACAUUGACUCCCUAUCCACUACACUCAGUCCCUGACAACAACCAUUUUACUUUUGUGUCUUUGACUAUUCUAGGAAGCACAAUAUUUGUUACUAAUUAAUUUUUAAACUCUUGCUCUGAUAAUGCUAUCAACCACAUGCUCAGAAAAAAAAAAUCAUCUUAACUUUCUUAUACCAAUAAAUCAUUGUUUGCAGUUUUAUUAAUGUUUCUCAAAGAAAAUCAGGCUCUAACUUUAAAACAAAACCCACAAGUGGAAAUUUCCCAACUCAGCCCCAGGGCCAUAAGCAGAUCACUGCAAAGACAAAGCAUCCAGGUCAAAUACAAAGCAAAGGGUGACAUCCUUUGAAGUUUGGAACUCAACACCAAGACUAUUUUGGCAUCUCCAUGAACCCCAAACUUGCUUUGGACAAACAGACUGCAGUCAGAAAGUUUUCCUGGUUCCACUCCAACAACUUAUGUGGCAUCAUGAUUUCUGCUUGCCCUCUUGUUCUUCAGUGUUUGCCACAAGACCAUGAGCAACACACAGCAAAACUGAGCUCACCCUGCAGUGAGGAAUGGAGCCACCCAGCUGAUCUACAAGCACAGAAUAAAUAAGUGCUUAUGUUUGAAUGCCAUUAAAAUUUUGUGGUUCUUUAUUACACAGUAUUAUUGUGACAAUAGUUACCUGAUAUAUGUAUAAUAUGAGCAAAAUGGGUAUUCUCCACCAGGAUUCUAGGGGAAAAAAGUUAGUUUUCUAUUUUAGUCAGCUUUUCCACUGCUAUGACUGAAAGACCCAACCAGCACAACUGUAGAGGAGAAAAAGUUUAUUUGGGGGCUGACAGUUUUCGAGGUCUCAGCCCAUAGACAGCAGGCUCCAUUCCUCGGGGCUUGAGGUGAGGCAGGACAUCAUGGAGGUAGAGUGUGGUAAAGGGAAGCAGCCCACGUGAUGACCAGGGAGCAGAGAGUGAAAUCUCCACUAGGCAAAUACAAAUAUAUACCCCAAAGCCAUGACUCCAAUGCCUGGCCUCCAUCAGCCACACCCCACCUGCCUUCAGUCACCACCCAAUUAAUCCCAUUGGGUGACUAAUUCACUGAUUGGGUUAAGGAUCUCAUAACCUCAUCGUUUUUUCUCUGAACCUUCUUGUAUUGCUUUACAUGUUAGCUUUUGGGGAGCACCUCAGAUUUAAACCAUAUCAUUUUCCACUUUCCUCACAUUGGGUCUUCAUUCCUUUACCAUGAAAGGCAGUAAAAAUCUGGUUGAUGGAUAAAGUGUUACAUCCAAUUAAUUAAUUCUAGGUUGGCCACUGACUUGCCUUUUCUCUCACUAUCAUGUUAACAAUUUGCUUUUCUUCUAAUGCACUGGGGAUACCAAUGACUGGAUGACCUCAUUUUUAAAUGCAUAGGGUUAAGUUAAAUCAGUGAUUCUUGAAUUGUAGCUUGGGGCCUAUGGUUUCACAAAGAGAUGUUUGGAGAAUCAUGGUAGGGUCAAAGUAGGAAAGUUAAACAAUUAAAGUGCUAACCUAUCAAUCAUCAAAUUUCUGCUUCAAUGUGUUUUAGUUAUCUAGAUUUCAUUUGGAAAAUCAAUUCAACUCUUAAAACAUUAAAACUACUGGACAAAAUGCCAUUUAAAGUCUCCUCAGACUGAAAGCACUAUGAUUACAGUCCUUAUUUUGAUAAACCCUCUUCUCUUUAUCUCUAUUUCUAUGACCCUAAUUUAUGAGAUCAUCAUCUACACCUGUAAUAACUUCCUGACUUUACUCCCUUCUUCCUUAAGUUGUGGAUUGUGCCUUUUCACUCCUCUACUUAAAAUUAAGAUAAACCCAGCCUUGGUGGGACCUCAAGCCUCUGCAUCUCUUCAUCUCAUUUCCUGCCUCUUGCUCCUCUCCUUGCUCUUUCAUAUUGGCUUAAAACACACCCAGCUCUUUUCUGCCUUGGAAUCUUUUCAUAUUCUGUUCCCUCUGCUUGGAAUGCUCUUCCCAUAUUAUUCAAAUACCAACUCCUUUGUAUCCUUCAGUCUCAUGUUUAUCAGCCAGCCUCUCAAAGAGGCUUUUUCUGACCAUUCAAAUUACCUAAGGCCCUCACUUUGUCCCAUUUUUCUCUGUGACAGCACAAGAUCCUUUCCUUUCUUUGCCGUUAUAAACAUUUGUUAGUUAUAUUUUCAUUGAUCACAGUCUCCACAUGGCCAGAGGCCAAGUAGUCCGGUUUAUUUUUUUAAUUCCCAGGACUCAAAGCACACAGUAAAUAUUCAGUAUUGUGAAUGAAUGAAUGAGCAUUUUUACUUUUAUCAACACAUUUCCACCACCUUUCUAUACCGUAUGCAUGUCCCUAUGGCAAUGUGAACUUAGCCUCCUAGUUAUCUUCUAAAUCCACACACAACAUUCCUUACACACCAGUACUUCACAUUGUCUCUUUCAACUUGCUCUGUUCAUUAUUCUUGCCUCUCCAUAUUCUUUCUGCUUAUCAGUGGUCAUUAUCAUAAUGUUGUGGGAAAUUGUCAAGCUGACCCCAAGUCUUAGAAUUAGAUUAUACUUAGAAUGAAAUUAACAGUAACUGUUAUUCAACAAGUGAGGUCAGGUACCUGCAGAAGCACAUGCUCUGUGCCAUUUGAAUGAGGUGACUAAGACUAUCCAAAUUUCAAAAAAGGGACUAGGAAAGAGCUUCAACAAAAAGUUAUAUCCUAGCUAAUUCCAUUCUCCUCUAUAAGAAGAAAAUAAAUUAUAAAUGUAUGCUUUACAUACCGUCUAGAAAAUAAAGAUUAAAAUGAAUAAGAACAUGGAGUAUUUUUCCUGCAAUGCCCAAAGGAAACAGACAACAGAUAUGAAAGGUGGUGAUGUUAUAAUGAAAUCAAUCGGGUGGGGCAGUACACUGCUCAUAAGCUCUCACUACAGUUUGGUUGAACCACCCACCAGGAUCUUCUGAGAGUGGGCAUGAGGCUCCUAACUACCAGGAAGAGACCACCUCUGGAAAUGAAAAUGUUGGCAUUUUGACUUAAGCAGCAGUCUUUGGUGAGUUUGUCUGGUAUGAGUCAACUUUAAAAAAUUCAAUCUAUUCUGGGUUUAAUGAAAACAUUUAGUUUCUCGACUUGCAAAGCCAAGAUCCAUACCCUAAACCACAGUU